rnacentral:rRNA from 1 species
CUACGGGUGGCAGCAGUGGGGAAUAUUGGACAAUGGGCGAAAGCCUGAUCCAGCAAUACCGCGUGGGUGAAGAAGGCCUUCGGGUUGUAAAGCCCUUUUAGUAGGGAAGAUGAUGACGGUACCUACAGAAAAAGCCCCGGCUAACUCCGUGCCAGCAGCCGCGGUAAGACGGAGGGGGCUAGCGUUGUUCGGAAUUAUUGGGCGUAAAGAACAUGUAGGCGGUUUAAUAAGUUGGAAGUGAAAGCCCAGAGCUCAACUCUGGAAUUGCUUUCAAAACUAUUAUACUAGAGUGAGGUAGGGGAUGAUGGAAUUCCUAGUGUAGAGGUGAAAUUCUUAGAUAUUAGGAGGAACACCGAAGGCGAAAGCGAUCAUCUGGGCCUAUACUGACGCUGAGAUGUGAAAGCGUGGGUAGCAAACAGGAUUAGAUACCCGGGUAGUC